rnacentral:lncRNA from 1 species
CACCGCAGUCCAUACCGUCCCUGUCACAAAAAUUCAUUUCUCAAAUGUCAAAUCUCAAUUCAUCAUAUUGAAUCUCUGUACUCUGUUUUCGAUGAAGAGAAUGAAAAAUUGAAGAUGAUUGAUUGAUUGAUUGAUUGAUUGAUGAGGAAAACAAGACGAACCGGUUCUUUUGACAUCGCCUGAAUCUGCGUUUUGCAAGAAUGGUGCGCUGUCACCUGCUUCACUCAUGGCUGCUUCUUUCUGAUCAAACGCGAACACUGGAUUCAGCUGCUGAUUCCCGUGAUUGUUCUUCUCAUUAUCGUUCAAUUCAGUGAGGUGAAUCGAGUUUUUCUCUGGUUCUUGUUUGUUUGGGUUGGAUCAAUGGAGAAAGAGAUACAGAAAGAUGUGGAAAGUUCUAACUGACUAACUUCUUA